AAUUCUCAAACCUUUCAUUAUUUUUUUAAUGAGAGAGUCUGGAUGUGGAAGUUUGCGGGUCUCUAGAAAUGGAGGUCGGCUCUUCUCAAACGCAUUAGCAAGGACCUUAUCCUUUUGUUGGCCUUGGUGUGAUAAUUAUCUAUGCCAUUGGCUUUAGGAUGUGGGUUUGGCUUUCUAAUGAGUCUCCUUCGGGGGACAAUAUUUCUGAUAC
rnacentral:misc_RNA from 1 species